UUUUUGUUUUAAUAGGGACUAAUGUGGGAAGAAUGGCUAAUUUGUCACAGUGCUUAGUUACAACUGUUAAUGUGUGGCCUGCUGUUGGUGUACAUGUGGGUACAGGGUGUCUAUUUCCAAACAGAGUAUAAUAUCAAUACUGCUAAAUCUGCAUGUCCUCUGUGUGACUGAUAGAGCGUUGUUAUUUCAUUUUUUAAAGACAAAAAUGACAGAAAAAUAUAUAAUUCCAACAUAUUAAUGUAGAUAAUCUAGUUGGGAAUACUUUUGUCUCACUUUCCCUUUUAAUAUUCAUAAUUGACUCAUGUUUAGAAC
rnacentral:lncRNA from 1 species